AUUGAACGCUGGCGGCACGCUUAACACAUGCAAGUCGAACGGCAGCAUAGAAAGUUUACUUUCUGAUGGCGAGUGGCGCACGGGUGAGUAACGCGUAGGGAUCUGCCUGUUAGAGGGGGAUAAGCCGAGGAAACUUGGACUAAUACCGCAUACGCUCUGAGGAGGAAAGGCUGGGACUGUCGAGAGAUAGCCAGUCGCUAACAGAUGAACCUGCGUUAGAUUAGCUAGUUGGUAGGGUAAAGGCCUACCAAGGCGAAGAUCUAUAGCUGGUCUGGGAGGAUGACCAGCCACACUGGAACUGAGAUACGGACCAGACUCCUACGGGAGGCAGCAGUGGGGAAUAUUGGACAAUGGGGGGGACCCUGAUCCAGCGAUGCCGCGUGUGUGAAGAAGGCCUGAGGGUUGUAAAGCACUUUAGUUGGGGAGGAGAGGCUUGAGUCGAAUAGGCUUAAGAGUAGACGUUACCCAAAGAAUAAGCACCGCCAAACUCUGUGCCAGCCGCCGCGGUAA
rnacentral:rRNA from 1 species